rnacentral:snRNA from 1 species
GUGCUCGCUUCAGCAGCACAUAUACUAAAAUUGGAAUGAUACAGGGAAGAUCAGCAUGGCUUCUGCACAAGGAUGACACGUAAAUUUGUGAUCGUUCCAUAUUGAU